rnacentral:rRNA from 1 species
GACGAACGCUGGCGGCGUGCUUAACACAUGCAAGUCGAACGGAAAGGCCCUGCUUUUUUGGGGUGCUCGAGUGGCGAACGGGUGAGUAACACGUGAGUAACCUGCCCUUGACUUUGGGAUAACUUCAGGAAACUGGGGCUAAUACCGGAUAGGAGCUCCUGCUGCAUUGUGGGGGGUGGAAAGUUUCGGCGGUUGGGGAUGGACGCGCGGCUUAUCAGCUUGUUGGUGGGGUUGUGGCUUACCAAGGCUUUGACGGGUAGCCGGCCUGAGAGGGUGACCGGCCACAUUGGGACUGAGAUACGGCCCAGACUCCUACGGGAGGCAGCAGUGGGGAAUAUUGCACAAUGGGCGGAAGCCUGAUGCAGCAACGCCGCGUGCGGGAUGACGGCCUUCGGGUUGUAAACCGCUUUCGCCUGUGACGAAGCGUGAGUGACGGUAAUGGGUAAAGAAGCACCGGCUAACUACGUG